rnacentral:rRNA from 1 species
UACGGAGGGUGCGAGCGUUGUCCGGAAUCACUGGGCGUAAAGGGCGCGUAGGCGGUCAGCACAAGUCAGUUGUGAAAUCUCCGAGCUUAACUCGGAAAGGUCAACUGAUACUGUGCGACUAGAGUGCGGAAGGGGCAACUGGAAUUCUUGGUGUAGCGGUGAAAUGCGUAGAUAUCAGGAGGAACACCGAUGGCGAAGGCAGGUCUCUGGGCAUUAACUGACGCUGAGGAGCGAAAGCAUGGGGAGCGAACAGGA